rfam:Brassica napus, WGS project CCCW01000000 data, contig: 9047
GUAAUAUAAGAAUGCGUCUCUUAACUUUUAACUAAAAAAACUAAGAACCGGUUCUUAAAUAUCUUAUUUAAGAACCGGUUUUUAGCUUUUUUAGUUAAAAGUUAAGAGACGGGUUUUUAUAUUCC